ACUUACACAAGUUUAUCAGAUGUCAAUUGCACAUUCCUUGUAGUGAUUAGCAUGUACGAACUCCGCUAUUUCCAUGCAUCAUCAUAAGUAACUUGCAGUGAAAUUAUCUUAUGUGUCCCAGGAUAUAAAAUUCACGUACAGUAUCAUCUUAUUUGACCAUAUAAGAACAUUUCUGUAGCUUCAACUAUGAACAUUUCUGUCACACACCGUCUCUUUAAAUCUGAAUCUUGAUUGCUUCUAUUUACUCUGAGUGUGAGAUGUGUAGUAAGAUUAGUCAGAUGCCUGGUUUUUCAAUUCUCUGAAGGCAAUUAUUUGCUGUAAUCACAAGUUGUAAGCAGCCAAAAUGGUGAAGGUCUGCUGCAUCGGAGCUGGCUACGUCGGCGGCCCAACAAUGGCUGUUAUUGCCAUCAAAUGCCCGACAAUUGAGGUGAUGUGCGAAUCCAAGUACGAAGCUGUGAAGCAUAUCAGCAAAGAGUAGCAUAUUAUGUGUUGUAAUUGUAGGCAGUAGUAGGCUUAUUUGGGCUGUAGUAUAAUGUAAUGAUUGUAAUAGACUAAUGUAGUGUUGUUUUGGAUGAAUUCCGUUUGCUCUUUGGAUUGUUCAAAAUAAUAAUUGUGUAUGUGAUUUGAAUACCCCAGAAAUGGUAACUUGGAAAAGGGGUUCAAGUUA